AUUGAACGCUGGCGGCAGGCCUAACACAUGCAAGUCGAGCGGGGUUUUCGGACCUAGCGGCGGACGGGUGAGUAAUGCGUAGGAAGCUACCCGAUAGAGGGGGAUACCAGUUGGAAACGACCGUUAAAACCGCAUAAUUUCUACGGACUAAAGUGUGGUACCUUCGGGCUACAUGCUAUCGGAUGCGCCUACGUGGGAUUAGCUAGAUGGUGAGGUAAUGGCUCACCAAGGCGCCUAUCCCUAGCUGGUUUGAGAGGAUGAUCAGCCACACUGGAACGGAGACACGGUCCAGACUCCUACGGGAGGCAGCAGUGGGGAAUAUUGGACAAUGGGCGCAAGCCUGAUCCAGCCAUGCCGCGUGUGUGAAGAAGGCCUUCGGGUUGUAAAGCACUUUCAGUAGGGAGGAAGCGUUGUGUGUUAAUAGUACACAGCGUUGACGUUACCUACAGAAGAAGCACCGGCUAACUCUGUGCCAGCCGCCGCAGUAAUAC
rnacentral:rRNA from 1 species